UACGUAGGGGGCAAGCGUUGUCCGGAAUCAUUGGGCGUAAAGAGCGUGUAGGCGGCCCGAUAAGUCCGCUGUGAAAGUCCAGGGCUCAACCCUGGAAUGCCGGUGGAUACUGUCGGGCUCGAAUCCGGAAGAGGCGAGUGGAAUUCCUGGUGUAGCGGUGAAAUGCGCAGAUAUCAGGAGGAACACCGAUGGCGAAGGCAGCUCGCUGGGACGGUACUGACGCUGAGGCGCGAAAGCGUGGGGAGCAAACAGG
rnacentral:rRNA from 1 species